UACGUAGGGUGCAAGCGUUAAUCGGAAUUACUGGGCGUAAAGCGUGCGCAGGCGGUUAUGUAAGACCGAGGUGAAAACCCCGGGCUCAACCUGGGAACUGCCUUUGUGACUGCAUAGCUGGAGUACGGAAGAGGGGGGUGGAAUUCCGCGUGUAGCAGUGAAAUGCGUAGAUAUGCGGAGGAACACCGAUGGCGAAGGCAACCCCCUGGGCCUGUACUGACGCUCAUGCACGAAAGCGUGGGGAGCAAACAGG
rnacentral:rRNA from 1 species